CUGAACUAGGCAGGCCUGGAAAACCGGGACGCUUCAAUUAGCGCUCCACGGACGGAUCCCUGGCGUGGACAUUUUUAAUUUUUCAUCACAGCCUCCUUGGAUUUUCAUUCAUGUGGCUUUUUGCGCAUAGAGCUCGGACGCUGCUGAGGUGUGUUUGAUCAACUGAGCCAUUUCGGAGAUGAAGACAAACGCUCGGUGAAUGGGAAACACCAACACGGAGCCACCGCUACCUUUUCCCCAUCUUGACAAACACGCUCACCCUUCUGUUGGCGAAAUUUGCGCACCCAAGACCGGAGCCGGUGUCUGCGCUCUGCGGGGCCGGGCGCGCGUCGUCUGGGAGGAGUAGGGAGGAUGGAGGCGUUUUUUACAGAGGUUUGGGCUGGAUUACAGGUGCAGAGAAACCAUGGACCGAUAACCGGGAGAUAGACAGGUGUGAAUGUGGAAAGAACAGCUUUGACACAUGAUCUCAAGCCUGCUGUCAUUGUUGCUGUAUCAUAUCUGCCUGUUCAUAACCUCACUUUCUGUCCUGUCUUUGCCCAGCACACAGUAAUCUCCGCUUCUAUACUCUGUUGUUUCCCUCAGUCUGUAUAACCCAACAGGCUGUAAAUAAUAUUUUACUACUCAAUUGCAAUUUGUUGAGUGGCCACACAUAGCAUAUGGGGAAUAGUUAUUGAGCAAUAAAAGCUUUCUCACACUGAA